rnacentral:rRNA from 1 species
UACGUAGGUGGCGAGCGUUAUCCGGAAUUAUUGGGCGUAAAGCGAGCGCAGGCGGUUCCUUAAGUCUGAUGUGAAAGCCCACGGCUCAACCGUGGAAGGUCAUUGGAAACUGGGGAACUUGAGUGCAGAAGAGGAGAGUGGAAUUCCAUGUGUAGCGGUGAAAUGCGUAGAUAUAUGGAGGAACACCAGUGGCGAAGGCGACUCUCUGGUCUGUAACUGACGCUGAGGCUCGAAAGCGUGGGGAGCAAACAGGAUUAGA